rnacentral:rRNA from 1 species
AUUCCGGGGGGCAUGCCUGUUCGAGCGUCAUUACAACCCUCAAGCUCUGCUUGGUGUUGAGCCCGCCCCGGCCUGCCCGGGGCUCGCUUCAAAGUCAGUGGCGGCCGCCGUCCGACCUUCAGCGCAGUAAUGCUCGCCGCUGUUAGGGAAGGGNAGCAAGGGCCGUCAUACAACCCCCACACACAAGGUUGACCUCGGAUCAGGUAGGGAUACCCGCUGAACUUAAGCAUAUCAAUAAGCGGAGGAAAAGAAACCAACAGGGAUUGCCUCAGUAACGGCGAGUGAAGCGGCAACAGCUCAAAUUUGAAAGCUGGCUCCUUCGGGGCCCGCGUUGUAAUUUGUAGAGGAUGCUUCGGGCGCGGCACCGGUCUAAGUUCUCUGGAACGAGACGUCAUAGAGGGUGAGAAUCCCGUAUGUGACUGGCUGCCUGUGCCCAUGUGAAGCUCCUUCGACGAGUCGAGUUGUUUGGGAAUGCAGCUCAAAAUGGGAGGUGUACUCCUUCUAAAGCUAAAUAUUGGCCAGAGACCGAUAGCGCACAAGUAGAGUGAUCGAAAGAUGAAAAGCACUUUGGAAAGAGAGUUAAACAGUACGUGAAAUUGUUGAAAGGGAAGCGCUUGCAAUCAGACUUGCGCGGCGUCGAUCAGCCUGGGUUCUCCCUGGUGCACUCGGCGCCGCUCAGGCCAGCAUCAGUUUCGGCGGUGGGAUAAAGGCCUAGGGAACGUGGGUCCCCUCGGGGACCGUUAUAGCCCUAGGUGCAAUGCCGCCUGCCGGGACUGAGGACCGCGC